AUGAUGCAGUGUGAAAAGUUUUUUCGGUACAAGAUGGACCCGCGUCUGAUUAGCUAGUUGGUGAGGUAACGGCCCACCAAGGCGACGAUCAGUAGCCGACCUGAGAGGGUGACCGGCCACAUUGGGACUGAGACACGGCCCAAACUCCUACGGGAGGCAGCAGUGGGGAAUAUUGCACAAUGGGCGCAAGCCUGAUGCAGCGACGCCGCGUGAGCGAAGAAGUAUUUCGGUAUGUAAAGCUCUAUCAGCAGGGAAGAUAAUGACGGUACCUGACUAAGAAGCACCGGCUAAAUACGUGCCAGCAGCCGCGGUAAUACGUAUGGUGCAAGCGUUAUCCGGAUUUACUGGGUGUAAAGGGAGCGUAGGCGGUUUUACAAGUCUGAUGUGAAAGCCCGGGGCUCAACUCCGGUAUUGCAUUGGAAACUGUAGAACUAGAGUGUCGGAGGGGUAAGUGGAAUUCCUAGUGUAGCGGUGAAAUGCGUA
rnacentral:rRNA from 1 species